UGCUAACACAUUUAAAAAAUA
ensembl:piRNA 21ur-14810 ncRNA